rnacentral:rRNA from 1 species
AUGUAAUGUACUUUUCUUCGACAUGUGGAGACAGCGUGGUGCAUGGGUGUCUCAGCUCGUGUCGUGAGAUGUUGGGUUAAAUCCCCCAACGAGCGCAACCCUUGUCUUUAUUUGCCAGCACGUAAAGGUGGGAACUCUAGAGAGACUGCCGGGGAUAACCCGGAGGAAGGGGGGGAUGACGUCAAAUCAUCAUGCCCCUUAUGAUUUGGGCUACACACCUGCUACAAUGGGGUAAACAAAAAGAGGCGAAAUAAUGAUAUGGAGCAAAUCUCAAAAAUAACGUCUCACUUCGGAUUGUAGUCUGCAACUCCCCUACAUGAAGCUGGAAUCGCUAGUAAUCGCGAAUCACAAUGUCACGGGGAAUACCUUCCCCGGUCUUGUACACACCG